AGAACGCCGUGACGCCUCCUCGCCUGUGUCCCUGGCGCCUGGCUGGUUAGGUGUAUCGUGUCGUUUAAUCACCUCUGCAGCUGAGACAGUGAAACCAAGAAGUGAAGGAACUUGCUUCAAGUCACAGACCCAAAAUGCGCUCCAGCUUGAAGUUGAUUGCAGGCUGCCUGCCGCCGCCCUUCCACCUCGCAUGGCGCGCCCAAGGUUAAGGAGAUGUAACCACCAGCCAUCCUGAAACUGACCAAAUGAGGCACUCAAGGGAGAUGUAACCACCAGCCAUCCUGAAACUGACCAAGCCUCACCACAAGCGCUAUGCCCAUGACCUUUGCUUUAUUUUUAAUGCAAAGAUCUCUCCAGGAGGAGCUUAGGCCUCAUUAUGUGGAAGCAUGUUCUCCACUGAGCCUGUGCAAGUGAAUACCCACCUCUCCCUUUUGAAUAUUAUUCCCCAACUGAAAUAAAAGUUCCUGCUUCCCUUA